UCUCCUCCAUAAAACAAAGCUAAGAAACAAAGAUGGGAGAAAAGGUUUCCCACACAAGAACAAAACAUGGCAGAAGUAGAUGGUUAAGGGUAUGUUGAACUUUUCU